rnacentral:sRNA from 1 species
GAUGCAGAUCUUCGCUCCAGUGAUGACUGUGAUAUUAAUCCUUCAAACUUAGACAUAAACAUCAGUAUAGUUGGAAGCAAUAUAAGGAAGACCUUCAAAGCAAUUCCUGGAAGAAAACCUUGGAUGAAUGAUUUGAUGACAUCACUGCACAAUAGGUUUCAGAAAUGGAAGCGCCUUUUCUAUUCCUUCAAGGCUUGCAAGAGAUUGCACGAAUGCUAUUGGAAUGACAUAAAAAAAGUUGAGGAAGAAGAAUGCCACAGCAACUAUCAGCCUCCUAACUGUGAGGGACACAAAUGGAAUGGAUAGAUUAUUCCAGUAGACAUCACGAGGUUCUGGAGCCCAUUCAGUUAUCCAGACUGUUGGAUUACUGGUUUGCUGUGUCUGAGCACAAACAGCAGCCCCCCACCGUGAACGAAAUGAAACAAAGGCUGCUGGAACAGCUGACUGGGGAUCCUUCAUGAUCUUUUGACGCUCAUCAGCUUCCUGCAUGUUGUUACACAUGAAUUUAUUGUUAUCUGACUGUUAGCUGUAAACAAAUUAAACUCCCACAAGGUGUGAAUACUAACCUUAGUGGUGGGCCUUUUUGAUGGAUUUCUUUCAUACUUGAGCUGGUAGUAAUCAAGCCAAUUUUGCAGUUUCUUCUUCUUCUCAACCAGAUCAGCAAGUUUAUUUGCAUUAUUACCUGGUGUCUUAGAUAAUGAUCAGGAUGAUUAACAAGGAAGAAAUGCUCCACGAGCUCACUAAUUGAUUCAUCAGGAUCUGGAGGUAUAUUCCGCACAAGAACCGUAAACUGGUCUGGUCGCCGUUUCUCUGAAGCAAGAAACCGCAAUCUCAUCGUUGUAAUUAUCUCAUACUCUCGGAACAGUACAUAGCAGGUCCAAAACGUGACAGCAUAAGCCAUAACCAAGUGAGCUUACCUGUUUGACCCAUAAGGUAUGUUUGAUAUUGAAAGUUUGUCAAUUUUACUGUGGACUACCUUCAUGCUGUCUAGGGUGUCAUUUGUCCAGUUCACAGGGAACAGAACAAGCGAAGCUAAAAUUGAUAUUGGAACGAAUAUCUUGAUCCUGUAAAAGGUAUAUCCGUAGAUAGACAGCGGAAUCAAGGCCUGCAUGAUUGAUCAACUCAUCCUCUGGCAUCUUGAGAGCAGCCGGCAUCCAACUUAAAAAUUUCAAGUAUGAUCUCAUGUUUAAAUUGACAACCUUUUGCACUGCAGCACCAGAGGAAACAGGGCUGUCUCUCAUUCCUCUGAGGUACCAUUUUGGAAAGUAAACCCUAUCGUUGAUGGGCUGUAAUCGUAGAAAAGCAAAGACCAGCAAGAAUGCAACGGCCAUCGAGACGUUGAUAGCCGCGGAGAGGCCGAUGUCAGAAACAGUGGCCAUGGCUGCCCUCUAGACAG